UUCAAUAUUUAUGCAGCUUGAUCUUUCUAUAAUUAUUGCUUUGCUUUUGGAAUCAAUUUAGGCCUAUUGCUUUUAAUUGCUUGAGUAAUAUAUUGUUUGAAUGAUUUAAGUCCGUAAUUGCUUAGGUUGUUUAAACUCAAGUGUAAUCGGUUGCAUAAUCUAAACUUGACCACGCGGUUGGCAAGGUUAGAAUUAGGUUUCUCUAAGUCUUAAUGCAGUCAACAGUUGUUCGAUGCUAAAAUCCCCAAGGACGUUCCUUGGCAAC
rnacentral:lncRNA from 1 species